UACGAAGGGGGCUAGCGUUGUUCGGAUUUACUGGGCGUAAAGCGCACGUAGGCGGAUCGAUCAGUCAGGGGUGAAAUCCCAGAGCUCAACUCUGGAACUGCCUUUGAUACUGUCGAUCUGGAGUAUGGAAGAGGUGAGUGGAAUUCCGAGUGUAGAGGUGAAAUUCGUAGAUAUUCGGAAGAACACAGUGGCGAAGGCGACUCACUGGACACGUAUUGACGCUGAGGUGCGAAAGCGUGGGGGAGCAAACAGG
rnacentral:rRNA from 1 species